rnacentral:tRNA from 1 species
UGCUGAAUAGCUCAGUCAAUAGAGCAUGAGACUCUUAAUCUCAGGGUUGUGAGUUUGAGCCCCACACUGGUGG